CUGAACCUUAAACACCACCAUCUCUUUCCAACACAACCUCCUUCAAGAGCCUCAACGAAUGGAAGGAACCUCUCAGUCACCAAAUUUUCAACCUCUUUGAUGAAGCGAAGUCGGAGACCAAGUGAUAACGGUCACCGGAAUCGCUGACUCAGUCGAGGAUGCUCUGUUAACUCGCUUAGGACUGAAUUCAUCUCUAGGCUCCCCGACAAGGUCCAUUCUGGUCUUGAUGUUGAGUCCAGUCCCUACGAUAUUGACCUUGCCCGGACUAGUGGCUUGAGUGGAGUUUUGUUUCAACUUCAAUUAAAGAAAACCCUGUUUGGUUACUGAGAAAAUGCGCUCAAGAUUUUUAUGUUCUUUUUCUUGUUGUUUUGGGUUAUAUAUGUAAUGAGUAAUCAGAAAAUGAGAAAACGUCAUUUUACCUGGAUUGAUUGGUUUCUUGGAACCACAAAAUGAGUGAUUAUUGUUUUGGUUUUUUUUAUUAAUUUUCUUAGGAAACAAACAGAGGUAUUGCAUUGUUUGUCUGUUGAGAAACUGGGGGAGAAUUCUUCACUUGUGUCAAAGAUUCUGCAACCAAAGCAAUCCAAUGAUGCAUUUUUUUUAUUCUUGCUAUUCUUAUGUUGUUAUAUAUGCAUGUUCUUACAAAUAAUUUUUUUUGUUUCUUCUUUAAAUUAUAGGAGAAAAGGACUACUAUGAAAGACAGCUUUUAACUCUGAAAUCUAUUGAGGAAGUUGACUCUAUAGUGCAAUCAGAAGGCAUUGAUGAAGAUGAUCUUGAUGAACAAGCUCAACAUGAAAGAGCCGUGAAGAUCUCUAAUUAUUCAAACAUAAUUCUCUUGGGACUUAAGGUGGUGAUGGCUUUCGUUGGAGAAACUAUAGGCAUUCAAAAGUGAUAGAGUUGGAGGGUGACAAGGGUUAUGGUAAGAUAUAUUAUACAGUACUACGUUUGGAUGAAAAACUCAUACAAGGUAUGAUGUUUUCCAGUUAUCACUCUUUGCAAUUUGAAUAUGCCAUGUACUUAUCCUAUUCCUAUGUUUCUUUUAUUAAUUUGAUAAAGAAGAAAGAACAAUCACCUUGUCAUCUAUAUCUUCAAUUAACACUAAAGAAAUUAAGAUGUAUUUUCAUGUUUUAAAAAGUUUUCCUUGUGUAUUUUUAAGACUACAAGUAAAACUUUAGUUGGUGUUAACUGUUACUUUAACUGUGAACUUGUGGCUCUUGAAUGGCAGAGAAUCUUAUGACUACUUCUGCCACCCAAUUUGCACUAUCACUUAAGUUAUCUCCUUGUUUUUCUUUGACUUCGAGAAUAUUCACUCUACUUGCUUGGACAUAGAUUAUAUGUGGGACGUGGGAUGCAAGAAAGCCAUGUCUUUGUGCUGAAGUACACAUUGUUCUGGAUACUAGUACCAUUGAGCAUAUUUUCUUUCAACUACUGGUUUGAGGUAAGCUGUCAUGUGCAACUACAUAAUAACUCCAUAAUACAUGACUAUUUAUUAGAUAAUUUACUAAUAAAUCUUUCAUUUUAGAUUGCCAUAAAUAUCUUUAUUUAGUGGAAAUUGUACUAUCUAAUUCUCAACUUUCGACAUGAAAUCAGAGCUAAUUAAUUCUUAGCAUUUCUGUUCAUUGUAAUCUUUCUGAUUCUUAUGCUAGUUAAAUAUAAACAUGAAAGCAUACUUACUGUUAACUGCGGCCAGUGGAAUAAUGCAGAUAAAGCCUCUCAUAGGACCAAUAAAGCAGAUCAUGAAAAUUGGUGUGAAAAGUUAUGACUGGCAUGAGCUUUUCCCAAAAGGUUUUCUCUGUUCCUUUGUAUAUAGUUUGUCCAAAAAAAUUAAUCAGAAACCUGGUAUAGCUACUAAAUCUAACCCCCAAAAAAAUUGCUUCUCUUGCAGUACAGAAUAAUGCUGGUGCAAUAAUUGCAGUAUGGGC